CUCCCCUCCUCAGGCAAGUGAAUGUGAAAGGCACCGUGCUGAGAUGCUGGAACAAUGGCAAGAAGAGAAGGCAAAGAGAGAGCGGGAACACGAGAAGGUGCUGCUUGAGCUGAGGCAGAAAGUUGCCACCCUGCAGGUCUAACAAGAUGAACAAAUUAGAUUUGAAAAAGCCAAGCGACAGGUAAUGGUUCUGAAGGGAGAACUGGUGUGAUUUUUUGCAAGGCUGGAGCUGUGGAGAUGGCAGGCUAUGGGGGCUGUGUGGAGCAUGUCCUCCAUGUCCUCUCCAUUGAAUGUGGGCAGGUGAAAGGUGACCGGGUCUGUCUUUGGGACCAGGAAUGAGCCCUCUCACAGGAAGCCAGGCAGAAACAUCAGCUUUAAGUUGAGAUUUUUGUGCUGCUCUUGUGUUCUGUUUUUCUAAGACAUACCUCAGAGUUUCUUCACUGUUCUCUUGCCACUCCCCUUCUGGUGUGUGCUGGUAGGUGUUCAGUGCCAAAGUGAGAUUGUAGGACUUUUCUGGGCACAGGGAGGGUGAAGCAGAAAUGCUGACAAGGAUGAGAAAAAUCUAUUUAACGACUCAUCUGGAGUAUUUCUGAAGAGGAACCCAGAGAUGUCUUCUGGGCUGUGUUUUAAGUCACUUCUGGGCAGCUGUGGCUCCCCAGGGCAGACAGUGGCCCAGGCAAGCAGCAGCCAAGUGCUCUGAGGGCGCGUGAGCCCAUCCGUCUUUGCCUCUUGCCACACAGAUGUUGCAGGCAAGUGUGAAACCCUCUGCUCUUUGCUUCUGUGCAGGUGCUGCAGGAAGAGCAGAAUGAGAAGAGGGCUUUAACAGAGACACUGCUCCAAACUCGGGGACAGCUCAGCCAAGCGUGCCAGCAGGUCCAGCAGCUCAGGCAGGAGGUGAAAGAGCAGCAAGAGAAGGGACAGACCAUCAAGGCAAAGCUGCAAGCUGAGCUGCAGGAAGCUCACAAUGAAAUGCUGGCAGUGCAUAGAAGGCACAAGGAAGAACUCCAAGGCAUCAGAGAGGAGAUGAAUGUCCUCCUUAGAUGAGGGAGGCUCUGCAAAGUGGCAACAGCACUGUCUUCUCUGCCUGACUGGGUUUGCCUGGUCUUAAGCCCACAAAAUCUUCCAAAGCUGACAGAAGUGAACGAAUCUUCCAAGCAGAGAAAA
rnacentral:lncRNA from 1 species